rnacentral:miRNA from 1 species
UUCCUUCUGGUCAAUGAGUUAUAAAAACUUCAUUGACCAGAUUGACCAGAGAGAAAUCCCUCUGGUCAAUGAGGCAUAAUAACUUCAUUGACCAUAAGGAAUUUCUUCUGGUAGAUGAGGUUGUUGUUUCUCAUUGACUGGAAGGAA